rnacentral:misc_RNA from 1 species
GAUUAAUAACGCAGCGAAAUGCGAUAAUUAAUGUGAAUUGCAGAAUUUAGUGAAUCAUCGAAUCUUUGAACGCACAUUGCGCCCCUUGGUAUUCCGGGGGGCAUGCCUGUUCGAGCGUCAUUUCAACCCUCAAGCUCUGCUUGGUCUUGGGCCGCGCCGGCGACGGCGGGCCUCAAAAACAGUGGCGGCGCCAUCUGGUUCCUCAGCGUAGUAAUUCUUCUCGCUGUUGGGCCCGGGUGGCCGCUGGCCAGCAACCCCAAAUUUUCUAUGGUUGACCUCGGAUCAGGUAGGGAUACCCGCUGAACUUAAGCAUAUCAAUAAGCGGAGGA